rnacentral:rRNA from 1 species
AGAGUUUGAUCCUGGCUCAGGACGAACGCUGGCGGCGUGCCUAAUACAUGCAAGUCGAACGGUCUUUUCUAUGGAAGCUUGCUUCCACUGAGAAGAUAGUGGCGAACGGGUGAGUAACACGUGGGUAACCUGCCCAUAAGAGGGGGAUAACAUCCGGAAACGGGUGCUAAUACCGCAUAGUUUUCUUGAUCGCAUGAUCGAGAAAGGAAAGACGGCCUUUGUGCUGUCGCUUAUGGAUGGACCCGCGGCGUAUUAGUUAGUUGGUGAGGUAAUGGCUCACCAAGACGAUGAUACGUAGCCGACCUGAGAGGGUGAUCSGCCACAUUGGGACUGAGACACGGCCCMAACUYCYACGGGARGSAGCAGUAGGGRAUCUUCCGCAAUGGACGAAAGUCUGACGGAGCAACGCCGCGUGAGUGAAGAAGGUUUUCGGAUCGUAAAACUCUGUUGUCAGAGAAGAACAAGUCGGAGAGUAACUGCUCCGGCCUUGGCGGUAUCUGACCAGAAAGCCACGGCUAACUACGUGCCAGCAGCCGCGGUAAUACGUAUGUGGSSAGCGUUGUCCGGAUUUAUUKGGCGUAAAGCGAGCGCRGSGGUUYCUUAAGUCUGAUGUGAAAGCCCACGGCUCAACCGUGGAAGGUCAUUGGAAACUGGGGAACUUGAGUGCAGAARAGARAGUGGAAUUCCAUGKGUAGCGGUGAAAUGSGUA